AGCGGCACUCUUUAGCAGGGCCCUCCGUUGAGGCUGGUCUGCUGGCCGUUUGCAACUAUAUGGACGAGAGGCGGUAUUGGGAAGGGUACCGUCGGGAUGAUGUGCCUGUCCCAGGGCGUCGCAUCUUGAUGCCACUGCUGAUGCUGGCGAGGAUUGUUUGACUGCGGGGAUUUCUGCCACGAUUGCCCAGUAUCUUCAAGACUGCAAACAUGCUGCCUCUGCCCCUGCUUCUCGCCACUGAUCUACAAUCCAUCACGGUGUCCUGCCUGCACACAGUUAUUAUUCCGAGGCUCCUUGCAACACAGACUGACACAAAUAUGUAGACCUACUGCAAUGGCUGUUUGGAACAGAGUACCUGACCCCCAAACUGCUCUAAUGUCACCUGCAUAUAGGGAGCAUUCUUUGAAGGUCUUUUGGGAGAACAUGCCAAGUGCCUGCUUCAUGGAGCAGUGGGUUCCAACAGGGGAAGAAAGGCUAACCUAAAAGUAAUAUGCUAUGUCACAAAGAUUUUUAGCCUGUCCUGCUGAGGAGGCAUCUGAGCCACCACUGAAGACUCUGUCUUCUCUAGAUGCUGUGGAGAGCCUUGAAAAAAACCUGUAAAAUGAGGGCAAUAAUGGCUCCAAUCCAGCUGACUUCCGCUUGCUUUCUGGACCAAUGGCACACACUGGACGUGAAAGCUCUUGGUGAGAGACCACCUCCACGCAGCUACCCAGGGGCAGCGGGUCUCCUGAGCUCUCAGCCCUUAACUCCACCAUGGGAUGACACAUGUCUAUCCUUAUACUGGCCAGUCCUCUGAGACUCAAGUCCCCCAGGAAGGGCCCGUAGGUCUCCAGAAUUAAAGAAGAGAGCUCCCGGUUGCAUUUGAUCCCCUCACUUCAGACCUUCUUUCCUGGUGGGUGGCUGGGAGGUUCCAGAGAUCCUCAAGGCCGCGUGGCUUAGACGUUGACUUCACAUCUGAGAUUUCCCAUAGCAAACACAUACGAAUGGAAAGUUCCAGCUCCUAUCAACCCUCAGGAGCUCAGGAUGGUGCCCAAGGAGGGGUAUAUUGGGUUUGCUUGAGUGAUUUGUAUUGCUGGGUAGGCAUGGGAAAUAGGCCAUCCCUACCGCCUACUUACAACGGCCACCAACAGCAGCUACAUAAGGCAUCCACAUAAACCACAAGGAGACUUUGUUACAAACUUUCUUUAGAGAAAGAGGCUCCGGUUUGAAAGGGCUUAUUAUUCCACUCAUUUUUCAAAUGUAUGUUUGUAUGUUUUUUCAGUCAUGGACUAUUUAUCAAAGGUUUAUCACAGCCAUGUUGAGAGCUCUGCAUGCAGUCCGUCUUGUUUUAGUCAGAACAGGUCAGGUAAUGCUGUGAUAACAAACAAUCCCCAAAUGUCAGUGACUGGAAUAUAUGUAACAAGCAUCCAUUUCUCGCAGCGCUGCUGUUUAGUGUAGCAUCUGCUGCAGGCUACCAGCCUGGCCAGUGCUCUGCCAACUGAUUGUGCCACCAUCUCCACCGUGUGCCCAGGGUCCACAACAGCAGAGGAAAAGAGCACAGAGGAUCGUGUACCUGCCUGGAAGGUUUCUGACUGCAAGUGUCCCCUGCUAAAGGUGUUCACACUGCACCAGACAGAGGGUGUCACGUGGCCACACCUGCUCCAUGCAGGAACGGAGCAAUACUCCUUCCCUGGGCUGUUCAAAAAGGAAAUAGGGGAUAAUGUCAAUGACUGAAUCUUGGCCACACCAUCAAGCCAGUCCUUACAACAAGCCCGUGGUUUAUCUGAUUUAAACUAGGAAGUCCGACUACAGAGCCUCUGCCGUUUCCUGUGGUCCACGACCCACCUCGUUACACACACGAAACAGCAGUGCCACAGGCAGAGAGAGAGAACUGCGGGUGAGCAGUCAGAGGGUGGGGAUCGAGGCACUGCCGGGUAUUAGUGGAGGCAGUGACCAUGUCCUGUUGGGGUCCCAGGCAGCCUUCACAGAGGAGAUGGCUCUGGUCUCCGAAUAAGAGAGGCCAGGUAAGCCGAGCAUGGUGGCGCACGCCUUUAAUCCCAGCACUC